rnacentral:misc_RNA from 1 species
GUGAAUCAUCAAAUCUUUGAACGCAACUUGCACUCUCUUCGGAGAGUAUGACUGUUUCAGGGUCAGUAUUAAUAAAAAUCGGAGUGUUUCUCUUUUGUGUCGUUCCGGAUUUUGGGUCAUCUUAUAACAACACUCUUUCAGGGUAUUUUUAAGAGGCUUAUAAUUGACCUUUUUUGUGCAUUUUAGUAGUACAUAAAUUUUUUUUUAUUCGUCUAUCUUAUUGCCUAAUCUCUAUUAGAUGCGACCAUAUCGUUUGGUACCGUGUAUAUACAUUUUUCAUGAUUUGACC